CAUUCCGUCUAUUGAAUUAGCCUCAUUGUCUUUAAAUGCUAUUUUCCAGUACCAAAAAUAGCUGGGUAAUUAUCAUUUAAGGCAAAUGCACAUGUAAGCUAGUGGAAGAAAGUAAGUAGGUAGCUGUGUGUGCACCUGACCAAGUACUAAUCUUGUACAUUCUUUCUCACCUUCGUUUUCAGAAACAACUUCAUCGCGUUGAGUAGAGCAUGUCAAAGAUCUGAAAUUGGUGAUAUUUCUCCCUAGAUUCACAUACUUUGUACCAAAAGAGUUCUAUGAAACUUUCUGCUUUUGACAUGAAAUUUGUUUUUGGGCUGUUUUAUUUCUUAAGCCAUUGGUCUGUCCGUCUAAGACUGUCUUCUUAAUCAGCCUCAGUGUCUCCAAUUACACAAAGCCAUUCAGGGGCGUAGCCAGGAUUUCCCUAAAGGAGGGGGCCAAACUGACAGGGGCUCAAGGUAACCCCCUCAAAAUUGAAAAAGUCAUCGGAUUUCAUCCACUAUUUUUGGAGGGGGGGGGGCAAAUAAAUAUAUGAAAUAUUUAUUAGAAAAGAAAGGAAAAGAAUGUUAAAACUGAGGGGUGUUUUUGGGGCAAGCAUGAAGCAAGGCCCACGAAUAGCUUCAAAGAGUCGCUCAGCCGGUUCUGAGGGCGGUCUGAGGGCCCCGUAGGUCGGAUGAGUGUCCUUCAGACCGCCAAAGGCCUCCACAGCCCAUGAGAGCCUCGUAAGCCGUCUGAGGGUCAUGUAAGCCGUCUAAGGGCCACUCAGACCUAUAAAAGGCCCCCUUGCACGUGCAGAGGGCCCUGUCAGACCGAUGGAGGGCCCUCUCAGCCAAAGUAACGGCCCGUUCAGGUCAUUUGAGGUCCUCCUCAAACCGAUAGGGGCACCUCAGAGAUUGACAGUGGAUCCGAUCUGCGAUCCCUCAAACCGACAUAGGGUCAGACCAACAGUCGGAGACAAACAGAUCAACAGAGGGCCCGUCAGGUGAACAGAGGGCUCUCUCAGGCCGAUCGAGGGACCCAUAGGCCAACAGGGGCCCUCAGAACAGCGGAGGGCCUCUCCCAGGUCGGGAGAGGGCCCCUGAGACUGACAGAGGCCCCUCAUGUCGAAAGAGGAGCUCCUCAGGUGGGGAAAACGCCCCUCCAGUUGAUUAGAGGCCACUUCGGACGAACAACGGGCCCCUCAGGCCGAUCGGAAGCCCCUCAGACCGACAGAAGGCCCUCUCGGUCCAAAAAGGGCCCCUCAUGCAAAUAGCGGUUCCUUUAGACUAACAGAGGGCCCUUCAGAUGUUCUAAAUUAAAAUAUGCAUAUUAUUUACACCUUGAUUUUGUGCACACACCGUUGGACCCAUCCCAUCCACCUGGACCCCCUGGUUUCAAAAGGGCCCCAAGGCUCUAAAAUUGGGGCUCCAAAUUAUGGCUACGCAGCUGCAUCAAAUGAUCUGUCGCAGGGGCCUUUGCAUCGCCAAGGGCCCACUGUGUCAGCCAGGGGCCCUAUGGAAUAGGGGCCCCUGGCCUGGCGCGAUGGGGGCCCUAUUGGGCUUCAAGGGGGCAUGGCCCCUAUGGCUCCCCCUUGACUACGCCCCUGAAGCCAUUAAGUUGCUUUGUGUGCACAUAACCAGAUACUUAGGUACUUUAUUAUGCGCGAUUCACAGUGACAGUGGUCGCGUUACAGGCCAGAUGAAGCCGGUUAGCGGGGCGGGCCGUGUCCGGCUAUGAUGUACACGUUAAAUAUUCGACUCUAAAUUCUGCCUUGUACCCGAAAUUUCCCGAUCGGGCGUUAGAGGUCAGAACCUGCGCAACAAGCACCGCUUAGCGUUAGUUCUGACAUCGGAAAUCCACCCAUUCAAAGUAUUUUGAAUAAAUUUAUAAAAAUGAUCGGACAUUGGUAGGAGGGUGGGGAUAGGGAAAGGGUCGGGGGUCAGUGACAGGGCACUGUCGGUAAAAAAAAAAAUACGGUUGGGUCCUUCAAAGGAUAAAUAAGCUUCACCCUUCGCUCAUUGAGACAUUUGUGAUUGCUAUUGACUUACACUUUCUGUGACAUGUAAGGCUUAUAUACUACUUAUGUACUACUUAUACUAGUCUAUACUAGUAUAUAUAAGUUGUAUAUACUACUUAUAUACUACUUGUCAAUUCACUGUUAUUUUCCAGGUGACCAGACGCAUGAUCCAAGCGCAUGCGUACAGUCCAAGCGUAGGUCCACCGUCCAAGCGUGGAUUAAGCCAACAUGGGGAAAAGAAAGGGACGCCCAGGAAGGCUGAUCGCCAGAAAAAGACCCCGGAGGAGUGUUGAGGAAAUAUUUUUCGUCGAGGACGUUCUAGAGUUUAACGAGGCCACGGAUAUGUAUCGGGUGAAAUGACAAGGCACUCCUGAAAUAACCUGGGAACCCUCUCAUCACUUCCAUCCCGAUUUGCUUCGUGCGUUCCAUGACGGUCCGGAUGGUUCCGAGGCUGCCACCGUGU
rnacentral:misc_RNA from 1 species